rnacentral:rRNA from 1 species
GAAUUUUGGACAAUGGGCGAAAGCCUGAUCCAGCAAUGCCGCGUGCAGGAUGCAGGCCUUCGGGUUGUAAACUGCUUUUGUACGGAACGAAAAGCUUUGGGUUCAUCCCCUGGAGUCAUUACUGUACCGUAAGAAUAAGCACCGGCUAACUACUGUCCAGCAGCCGCGGUAAUACGUAGGGUGCAAGCGUUAAUCGGAAUUACUGGGCGUAAAGCGUGCGCAGGCGGUUGUGGAAGACAGAGGUGAAAUCCCCGGGCUCAACCUGGGAACUGCCUUUGUGACUGCAAGGCUAGAGUACGGCAGAGGGGGGUGGAAGUCCGCGUGUAGCAGUGAAAUGCGUAGAUAUGCGGAGGAACACCGAUGGCGAAGGCAACCCCCUGGGCCUGUACUGACGCUCAUGCACGAAAGCGUGGGGAGCAAACA